CUUAAACUUGAGAUCUGCCCAUGGAGUCGUUGUCUGAGGCUCUGGACAGCAUUUCCUCCUACCAGGAUCUCACAGGCCCCCUAAGGACAGGGCUUGGCUGCAGCUGCCACCGUACGCACUGAUUCUGAUCCCCUGCCAAGUCAGUCUUGUCCCUGGGGAUGACAGUGGUAGAUCCAUCCAUGCGAUCAUCGCCGCAAUCAGGAUACAGAUCUGGGCCAGGCUCGAUGACUCAUGCUUGUAAUUCCAGCACUUUGGGAGGCGGAAGUGGGCGGAUCACUUGAGGCCAGGAGUUCAAGACCAGCCUGGGCAACAGCCGUUCAACAACAACAACAACAACAAACUUAACAAACUAGCUGGGUGUGGUAGCUCGCGCCUGUAUUCCCAGCUACUCACUCGGGAGGCUGAGGUGGGAGGAUCACUUGAGCCCGGGAGGUCGAGGCUGCAGUCAGCUGUGAUUGUGCCACUGCACCAGCCUGGGCAACAGAGUGAGACACUGUCUCCCACUUCCUGAAAAAUGAUACAGAUCUGUUCCAUGAUCUCAAAUGCCAGAGAGCCUCCUGCUUCCCUGCUGCAGUCACACCACUCUCCUCCCCCACGAACAUACCAACCCUUGUCAAUCACUAAUCUGUUUUCCAUCUUUACAAUGUUGUCAUUUUGAAAAUGUUACAUAAAUGAAUUCCUAUAGUAUGUGAUCUUUUGAGAUUGGCUUUUAUCGCUCAAUGUAAUGCCCUUGAGAUGCGUCCAAACUGAUGCUCAUAUUGUUUGUUCAUAUUUUUAUUGUUGAGUAGUAUUCCAUGGUAUGGACGUACCAGUUUAAUUUUUUACUUAUUGUAGGACACCUUGGUUGUUUCCUGUUUUUGGUUAUUACGAAUAAAUUGCUGUGAGUAUUCAUGUCUGUGGUUUUGCUGGGACAUAACUUUUUUGAUUGUUUGUUUUGAGACAAUGAAAUCACUCCGUUGCCUAGGCUGCAGUGCAGUGGCAGGAUCACGGCUCACUGCGGCCUCCACCUCCUGGGCUCAAGUGAUCCUACUGCCUUAGCCUCCCGAGUAGCUGGAACUGCAGGCUCAUGCCACCACGUCCAGCUAAUUUUUGUAUUCUUUGUAGAAAUGGGGUCUUGCUGUGUUACCAAGGCUGGUCUCAAACUCCUGGGCUCAAAGGAUCCGCUCACCCCAGCCUCCUAAAGCGCUGGGACUACAGGCAUG
rnacentral:lncRNA from 10 species